CACACUUAAGCUUACAUUAUGAGCUCCAAAUUUGAAGUUACACUCUAGAGUGAGAGACGGCUCUAGAGAGUGAGGGAAGGCAAAAUUUGAAGAAUUGGGCAAGGAGCUUGAAGACUGAGGAAGAUAACUCAAGAACUAGCUAGGAAUUUGAAGAUUAGAACUCCUAGGGUCAAGCACAAGUGCAAAACCAUCGGCAGAACACUGUGAGCAAAGAGAUGUCCAAACCCAACUUCGGUGAAGUAUGUGAGACAAAGUCAAGUCUUGUGGAGUCAGCCCGAAUGUCUCAUGCACGAGACUUUGUUUUUGUUUUUUUGUUUACCCUUUUUGCCAUCUUGGUGAAUACGUUGGAUCACCCAUGUAUAUAAGUUUGUUUUGUUUGGCUGACUGCAUGUCUUGAAGUUCCUAGAUGUAUAAGAUAUUAACUCUAUUUUUAUGUGUGAGUUAUUAUGGACUGUUCAAGAAAUGUUUUGCCUUAUUAUGUA